rnacentral:rRNA from 1 species
AUGGGGUGCAGCAGGCGCGAAACCUCCACAAUGCACGAAAGUGUGAUGGGGCUAUCCCGAGUGCCGUCUGCUGAGGACGGCUUUUCGUCAGUGUAAUGAGCUGGAGGCAAUAAAGGGAGGGCAAGAUUGGUGUCAGCCGCCGCGGUAAAACCAACUCCCUGAGUGGUGGGGACGAUUAUUGGGCUUAAAGCGUUCGUAGCCGGCCUGAUUAGUCCCGCGUUAAAUCCAGCGACCUAAUCGUUGGUCUGCGGGGGAUACGGUCAGGCUUGGGAGCGGGAGAGGUUAGCGGUACUCCAGGGGUAGGGGUGAAAUCCUAUAAUCCCUGGCGGACCACCAGUGGCGAAGGCUGCUAACCAGAACGCGUCCGACGGCGAUGGACGAAAGCUGGGGGAGCGAACCGGAUUAGAUACCCGGGUAGUCCCAGCUGUAAACGAUGCGGGCUAGGUGUUGGGGGGGCUACGAGCCUCUUCAGUGCCGCAGGGAACCGUUAAGCCCGCCGCCUGGGUAGUACGAUCGCAAGAUUGAAACUUAAAGGAAUUGGCGGGGGAGCAC